GUAGCAGAGACAACUCAAAGCUUCAGAGAAGGCAUGGCCGGCUUCCUGGGGGCUUUGCUGUUGGUUCUGUGCCUUCGGUCAGAAUGGGUAAAGAGCCAACAGGAGACUGAUAGCCAGCAGGUUAAGCAAAGCUCUCCCUCUCUGACUGUUGAAGAGGGAGGGAUAUCUAUCCUGAAUUGUGACUACAAUAAUAAUAUGUUUGACUACUUUGCAUGGUACAAAAAAUACCCUGCCAACAGCCCCACACUCCUGAUAUCCGUACGUUCAAAUGUGGGUAAGAAGGAAGAUGGAAGAUUCACAGUUUUCUUCAACAAAAGUGGCAAACAUUUCUCCCUGCACAUCGCAGCCACCCAGCCUGAAGACUCAGCAAUGUACCUCUGCGCAGCUGGUGCACGGUGCUCUGCGCAUGCCUGCAGUCUCUACACAAACUCAGAGUGGGGGCCCUAAGCAGGACUUCGUGCUUCAAACAAGGGCAUCUGCGACCCUAUUUCUAUUGCACAUAGUAGCAUGACGGGGUGUGACUUAAAGUUAGUGAGGACAAUCAGCUUGAAGGAAGGCUGCACGACAACAUGACAAGCCAUGCAGACAAAUCCUAAUCAAUAGUUGGGAAACUGAGGCAGGAAGAACAUGGCUACAUAGUGAA